rnacentral:lncRNA from 1 species
AUGUUCCCCUUUUCCCACCCUUUUUUCCUCCUUUUUCCCCUUUUCCCCCUUUUUUCUCUUUUUCCCCCCUUUUCUCCCUUUUUCUCUUUUUCUCCUUUUUUCUUCCUUUUCCCCAUUUCCCACCCCUCAUUCCUUUCCCCACCUUUUUCCCACCCCUUUUUCCUCCCUAUUUCCCACCCCUUUCCCCCCCCCCAUUUUUUUCUUCUUUUUUUCUCCUUUUCCCCCCUUUUCCCAAACCUUUUCCUCCCCUCUUCCCGCCCCCGCUCUUCCCGGUGCCACCCCUGCUGUCCCCGCAGUGUCCCAGAUUGUCACCCAGGAUUACUGCCAGGCCCUGGAGCAGCUGGAGCUGGAGCAGGACCUGCGCUGCCACGCCGAGGCCUUCGCCCACCAGAUGCUGGUGCAGCAGAAGGAGGCGAAGCGCCAGAGCUCCAUCCUGCUCAGGAGCGCCGGCCCCGAUUCCCAAAUCCUGGAAGCGCUCCAGGAACUGGGAAAACUCAGCCGGGAGCUGGAGGAGACGCGGCGGGAGCGGCGGCAGCGGGUGAGGGACUGUCCCCAGAUUUGGGGACAUCGCGGGGAGGGGACAGCGGGGACAGCGCUGUAAAUUCCCUUUUUCCCCACUGGUUUCUCCCCAUUUCCCACCCUCCUCCCUUUCCCCCUUUUUCCCCUUUCCCCCUUUCUACCCAUUCCCUCCCAUUUCCCACCGCUCAUUCCCCCCUUUUCCCCUUUUCCUCCUUUUCCCCUUUUCUUUUCCCCUUUUCUUUUCCCCUUUUCCCCCUCCAUUCCCACCCCAUGCCCCUUUUCCCAUGGAGCACUGCUUUCUUUUUUUUUUUUUUUUUUUUUUUUUUUUUUUUUCCCCGAGCCCUCAUCCCACACGGAGCGGGAGAUUUUUCCCCAAAAUCCGCUGGCAUUUGGGGGAUUUUGGGGGGAGUUCUGAAGCACCCCCACCCUCGGGAUUUUCCUGGAUCGCGGAAUUCCCAAAUCCCGCAGGAGAAGGAGCUGGAGGAGCAGCUGGGGGAGCAGCGGGAGCAGCUGGAUCGAGCCCGGGCGGAGCUGGAGGAGGAGCGGGAGGAGAAACGGGAGCUGAGGGAGAGGCUGGAAGGGCUGGAAAAGGAAGGUGGGAAAUUCCAGAGGGAUUGCAGAAUAUUCCAGGGGGAUUUCCAGAAGGAUUACAGAGGAUUAUAG